UAAAGUUUAAUUAUUAAUUAAAAANNNNNNNNNANUUUUGAGCAGUAAUGAAUAUUAAAUAAUAAAGGGGAUUUUGAUUUAGUUAUUUUUGUUAACAUUGAUUAAAUAUGUGCCAGCAUUCGCGGUUAUACAUAACUAAAAAUACUUAUUUACAUCUUAUGUAGUUUAUUUAUUAUUUUAAUUUAGUUUAAUGAUUUUUGGGUAAAAUUUAAAUUUUUAUUUUUGUUUUAAGUUUAUAUUAAAUGAGGCUGUGAAAUCUAAAUUAUUUAGACUAGGAUUAGAUACCCUAUUAUUUUGGAUUUAAAUAUUUAAGCUUGAGUAGUAUUAGUUAUGAUCUUGAAACUUAAAGAAUUUGGCGGUAUUUUAGUCUGGUUAGAGGAAUCUGNNNNNUGAUCGAUAAUCCACGUUGAACCUUACUUAAUAUAAUUUAAUAUGUAUAUCGCCGUUUAUUUGAAGAUCUUUUUAGGGAAUCUUCUUUAAAUUUUAAUUAAUUUUAUUUCAGGUCAAGGUGCAGUUAAUAAUUAAGUGGUGAUGGAUUACAAUAUUUAUAAAAUAAAUGAAUUAGAAUUUGAAAAUAUUUUAUGAAGGGGGAUUUAACAGUAAUAAAUAAUUCUUAUUAUUUUUGUGAUAUUAGCUCUGAAAUGUGCACACAUCGCCCGUCACUCUCGUUAUUAAGAUGAGAUAAGUCGUAACAAAGUAGGUGUACCGGAAGGUGUAGCUAGAUUGAU
rnacentral:ncRNA from 1 species